rnacentral:rRNA from 1 species
UACGUAGGUGGCGAGCGUUGUCCGGAAUUACUGGGUGUAAAGGGAGCGUAGGCGGGAAGCCAAGUUGGAUGUGAAAUACCCGGGCUCAACUCGGGGGCUGCAUCCAAAACUGGUUUUCUUGAGUGAAGUAGAGGUAGACGGAAUUCCUAGUGUAGCGGUGAAAUGCGUAGAUAUUAGGAGGAACACCAGUGGCGAAGGCGGCCUACUGGGCUUUAACUGACGCUGAUGCUCGAAAGCGUGGGGAGCAAACAGAAUUAGAUACCCUGGUAGUCCCUGAG